rnacentral:tRNA from 8 species
GGUUCCGUGGUGUAGGGGUUAACAUGCCUGCCUGUCACGCAGGAGAUCGCGGGUUCGAUUCCCGUCGGGACCGCCA